rnacentral:rRNA from 1 species
CCCGACUGCGGAAAUAUAUACGUGCAACCCAGGGCGAGCCCCGUGUUUUUGAAAUGUUCGUACCAGCGAACACGAAGGCCCGAGGGCCAAAGGCGAUUGAGACCCCGGGAGUCCUUGCCGUAACCGGGCCAAGUUGGGUGGGGGAGGAUUCGACCCAUUUUGCGCCGGAGCCACCGCGUUAAACGGCGCGCUGGGGAGUACGGUCGCAAGAUUAAAAUUCAAAGAAAUGACGGGGGCCCGCACAAACGGUGGGAGUAUGUGGCUCAAUUCGAUGCAACGCGAAGAACCUUACCAGGCCUUGACAUGCAUCUCUAAGUUGGUGAAAGCCAGCGAGUCUCGAAAGAGACAAUUUGCACAGGUGCUGCAUGGCUGUCGUCAGCUCGUGUCGUGAGAUGUUGGGUUAAGUCCCGCAACGAGCGCAACCCCUGUGAACUGUUGCCACGGAACCGAGAGGUUCCAGCACUCUGUUCAGACUGCCUCGCUUAAACGAGGAGGAAGGUGGGGACGACGUCAAGUCAGUAUGGCCCUUACGGCCUGGGCUGCACACGUACUACAAUGCCCAGUACGGAACGAUCCGAUACCGCGAGGUGGAGGAAAUCUCAUAAAACUGGGCCCAGUUCGGAUUGGAGGCUGCAAUUCGCCUCCAUGAAGCCGGAAUCGCUAGUAAUGGCGCAUCAGCUACGGCGCCGUGAAUACGUUCCCGGGCCUUGUACACACCGCCCGUCACAUCAUGAAAGCCGUUUGUACCCGAAGUCGCCCCUUAAAAGGCGCCGAAGGUAUGGAUGGUGAUUGGGAUGAAGUCGUAACAAGGUAAAUCGAAUUCCCGCGGCC